UUUGUGUGUCAUUGAAACUGAGAUUGCUGCACAGGAUCUUGGUUUUGUACCAAUCAAAGAAGCCAAAAAUACACUUUGUAUUUAAAAGACAUGUUCUAUAAUCACUCAUUUGUCCCAUUAAGGGAAAAUUUGCAAAAGUUCCUUGGUGCUUUAGCAAUCUCUGCCAAGAAAGUAAUUAAAAAAAAAAAUCUCGUAAGAUAUUUACUUCAAUGCUUCAUCACCAACACAUCAUUAUGCAGGAAAAUGCCAAAAGUAAUCGCUGCCGGUUGCUGUUGCAGUGUGAAAAGGAGCACUAAAAUUACACUGUGCUCCCACUCCAUUUGCAGCUCAGAUUUGCACAGGUUCUUGAACCAGGCACUUUUAAGGCUCCUUUCUUCCUGCCGGAACUCCUACUUGCAGCUAUUGACAUUUAUUUCCUUAUUUUUUGCCUGAUCUAUUGGAAACAACUACACUAUCAAAUCAAUAAGACAUAUGGUACCCAUUUAAAUACUAAUUAAGUUGUACAUGUAAUAAUUCCUCCAGGACUUCAGAGCUGCAUCUUUUGAAAUGGUAGCUGCUAAGAAGGCGUAGUGGUCAGAGUGCUGCAAAAAUAAGAAUAAGAACAAGAGACUGAGAUGCAUCACCUCCUGUUGUCAGUGGUCAGUUGUGAUCACUGGCAUUCAUAGACUGUUCUUUCCUCCCUUGAUAUUAACAUACUUUCCUGGGCUUGGGAAAUCCUCUUGGAAUUGAGGAAGCCCUGGAAUCUCCUUGCCCAGCAGUGUGCUCGCUGCCAUGGACCCAGAGGUGGGAGCUGGGGGGUCACACGUGGAGCAGCGGGGUGCUGGGGUCCUCCCAUUCCUUCCCAGCAUUGAAACCCCCAGGAUCCAUCUGUGGAGGAUGAGUUGCUCAGUCUGCGUGAACGGGAGAGCUCUGCCCUGUUUCCCGCAGCUGCUUUGGAUGUUGUGCCUCUCAGUUCUGGGGCAGAAGAGCACAAGGCAGUGCUCAGGAUUGCAGUGGGCUGAAGAAGGGGAGUGCAGAGAGGAGGCAUACAGCUCUGGAUUAGAAAAGCACCAAGGAGCUUCAGCUGAGCAGGACUGCCUUAAGGUGAAGGAGCACUUGCAGGCUACAGAAGGAGCAAACCGGAGGCAUCUGGGCUGGUCAUUUUCUUAAACUUUCUGCCUGUCCGCUCUUCUCAUUCUCACCAGCACCAGACAAGUGGUACCCAGGAGAGAGCUGAAGUCAGAGUUUCAGAGAAGGCUGGGCUGCAGACCAUAUAAAUAUUGCAUCAGCUCAAUUCAGUAAGAGGCUGCUGAGCUGAAUCACAUCACCAGUAAUGCAAAAAGUACCACACCACAUCAAAUCAGGUGUUGUGGUUUUGCAAGCAAACACAUCAGCCAACAAACAUCAGGGACUGUGCACAGCUGGGCUCACCCAGCCUGCUCAGCUCAGCGCCUUGGUGCAGCAUGGAGCAGUGCUGGAUGGAGCUUGGAGCCUCUGGCUGACCAUAGUGCUCAGGAAUUACUGCAGACAGCAAAAGCUGUGGUGCUCAAUCCACAUCUUCCUUAUGUCACUGCAGUACCAAACAACCCCACUGGUUUCAGCAAGGUCACACUUAUUUUCUCCCCGUGUGGUGUCCAUCAGAGCUCUGUUGGUCACUAAUUCCAAGUGCCACACUCACUCUGCAUGUGCAUGUGGGCUUCUUAGAAGAGCCAAUUAUUUAUCUGUUUCUGCUGAAAUACUGAAAGUAUCUGGUAUAAGGUAGGCACUAAGAAACUUCCAAACUGAAGUUAAAAUUGGUCUUAGUUAUGACAAAUUCAAGUAGAAGAGUUGUAAUUAUUUGCUAGGUUCAGCUAUGGGAGUCACUGUGCACACAUACCUGGAUGUCAAAGAAAAUGAUGCUUUCCUGCAUAUUGGCCUUGCUCCUGCAAAAAUGCUCCUCAGAAGCUCUGGGCAGAGGAUAGGAAUGAGGAACAGCACUUAAUGCCAUUAUGAAGACUAUCUGCCUGUGGGAUUAGCGCAGUGCAAACCCAGAGAGAAGCUCAGGUUUGUUUUGUGGGUCUUCUACAGCACAGAGGUAAGCCUUAGGAAUGCAGGAACUGAGGUGUCAGUGUGAUAGCAUCACUCUGAGUCAGCAUAAAGAACUACGUAAUUAAUUGUUUGAAACAUUCUUGGUUGUGCCUGGUGGUUUUUCCUGUCAAGGUAUUUCUGCUUGAAUAUCAGCAGCUAUGCUGAAAUGUAAAGGAGA
ensembl:lncRNA